UACGUAGGGCGCGAGCGUUGUCCGGAAUUAUUGGGCGUAAAGAGCUCGUAGGCGGUCUGUCACGUCGGCUGUGAAAUCCCGAGGCUCAACCUCGGGUCUGCAGUCGAUACGGGCAAACUAGAGUAUUGCAGGGGAGACUGGAAUUCCUGGUGUAGCGGUGAAAUGCGCAGAUAUCAGGAGGAAGACCAGUGGCGAAGGCGGGUCUCUGGACAGUUCCUGACGCUGAGGCACGAAGGUCAGGGGAGCAAACGGG
rnacentral:rRNA from 1 species